rnacentral:rRNA from 1 species
GACGAACGCUGGCGGCGUGCCUAAUACAUGCAAGUCGAACGCUGAAGAGAGGAGCUUGCUCUUCUUGGAUGAGUUGCGAACGGGUGAGUAACGCGUAGGUAACCUGCCUUGUAGCGGGGGAUAACUAUAGGAAACGAUAGCUAAUACCGCAUAACAAUGGAUGACACAUGUCAUUUAUUUGAAAGGGGCAAUUGCUCCACUACAAGAUGGACCUGCGUUGUAUUAGCUAGUAGGUGAGGUAAUGGCUCACCUAGGCGACGAUACAUAGCCGACCUGAGAGGGUGAGCGGCCACACUGGGACUGAGACACGGCCCAGACGCCUACGGGAGGCAGCAGUAGGGAAUCUUCGGCAAGGGGGGCAACCCUGACCGAGCAACGCCGCGUGAGGGAAGAAGGUUGUCGGAUCGUAAAGCUCGGUUGUAAGUCAAGAACGGGUGUGAGAGUGGAAAGUUCACACUGUGACGGUAGCUUACCAGAAAGGGACGGCUAACUACGUG